UGCUUUGUUCGAGUACAAGGUGAAUCAUUUUGUUUUGUUUAACAGGUUUCAUAUUUGAAGUUCAAGUUGAAGAUUAACUGAAGAAGGAUUUGUUUAUUUGUUUGAAUGUAUAUAUGUCUAUAUAUUUUAUUUUUUCCGCUAUUUUAUUUAUUCGAAUGUUGUAACAAUUGUAACCCUAAGAUCAUAUAAUAAAGUUAUUUGGGGGUCGUCUAGGGGAGGGGGAUUUAUAUGCGUACUUGCUCAUUAUUUUUUUUAGAAAUCAUGCCUAUAGGUUUGUCUUUAACCACCUAGAUUUGAUAUUUGUAGGUGUUAUAAUCUAAUCAAUUUUCAAUUUGCUUGACGUUUUGUUAACAAGCCUUAAAAAAAUAAGAACUAGAGUCCAUUAAUUUUUAAAUGUUAAAAUCAAAUCCUAAUAAAUCUAGUAGGUUGUUAGAUGUUAAAAUAUUAUAAAUUCUCAUUUGUCUUAUCAUGUAGAAACCAUGUCUAAGGUUUAAUUUGUUCAUACCAUUUACAAAAUUAUGCAUAUAUGUGUUACUUUUUACACCUAGAAAUCAUGUCUAUAGGCUUGUAAAUAAACUCAUAAAAAUGAAGAUUUUUGCAAUAUGUUAUUUUCUUAAAUUUUUAUGAUGCUAAAUCAUGUCAUGCAUUUAACAAAUUAUUUGGCUUCGUCUUAAAACCUUUGCAUUUAAUAAAUUUACCAUCUUAAUGUUCUACUAGUUUUAGUACUUAUAAAAUUUUGCAACAUAAUUUUCUUAAAAGUCAUUAUUCAAUCUUCCUUUGAAAUUUUGGAUUGAUUGUGACAUUAUUUUUAAAAAAAAUAAAGUACUAUCUCCUAACCUAUCGUUAGUGGGAAAGUCAAAGGAACUAUGAGGUCUAGUUCCAAUUUUUAAACCGAUGCGUCCCCGGAAGUACCACUUCCCAUGAACUUCAAAAAGAAUUAUGUGCAUUUAUAUGUAAUUGUUUAUGUGCCUACGUGUGAACUAAAUAUUUUAAAUCAUUUGUUAAAAACAUAAAUUUUUU
rnacentral:lncRNA from 1 species